rnacentral:rRNA from 1 species
AACGAACGCUGGCGGCAGGCCUAACACAUGCAAGUCGAGCGCGCCCUUCGGGGUGAGCGGCGGACGGGUGAGUAACGCGUGGGAACGUGCCCUUCUCUGCGGAAUAGCCUCGGGAAACUGAGAGUAAUACCGCAUACGCCCUUCGGGGGAAAGAUUUAUCGGAGAAGGAUCGGCCCGCGUUGGAUUAGGUAGUUGGUGGGGUAAUGGCCCACCAAGCCGACGAUCCAUAGCUGGUUUGAGAGGAUGAUCAGCCACACUGGGACUGAGACACGGCCCAGCCUCCUACGGGAGGCAGCAGUGGGGAAUCUUAGACAAUGGGGGCAACCCUGAUCUAGCCAUGCCGCGUGAGUGAUGAAGGCCUUAGGGUUGUAAAGCUCUUUCAGCUGGGAAGAUAAUGACGGUACCAGCAGAAGAAGCCCCGGCUAACUCCGUG